rnacentral:rRNA from 1 species
UACGAAGGGGGCUAGCGUUGUUCGGAAUUACUGGGCGUAAAGCGCACGUAGGCGGAUCGAUCAGUCAGGGGUGAAAUCCCAGGGCUCAACCCUGGAACUGCCUUUGAUACUGUCGAUCUGGAGUAUGGAAGAGGUGAGUGGAAUUCCGAGUGUAGAGGUGAAAUUCGUAGAUAUUCGGAGGAACACCAGUGGCGAAGGCGGCUCACUGGUCCAUUACUGACGCUGAGGUGCGAAAGCGUGUGGAGCAAACAGG